CUAAAACUGGUACUGCAAUUACACAACUGGGGCCUGUUGCACAAAAGUAGAAUUAAGACAUCCUGGCUAAAUGACUGAGCUGAGCUCAAUGAAGCCAAAACAAGUGCGUCCACGCUUAAUUGGUUGCACAAAGACCAAGCCAGGAUGAUCAGACACGGAUUCAUCAAGCCAGGUGAAACCAAUCCUGGAUAGGUGCGCGCUCACGGCUCACUCAACUAGACCCCGCCACCGAUCACAGAUUCACCGAUUCACCAUGGCAACUAGCGGCGUUCUUUUCCCCGUCAGAGGCACAAAUCCAUACGAGGAGGUAAAAGACAUAAUUAAGAAGAAAGGCAACACCGCCACAGUGGUAAAGCAGAGAGAAAAAGCGUGGCAAAGUAUUGCAGACCGCCUGAAUGCGUCAUUUUGCUCAUCAAGAAAAUGCAUCUUAAUUGAAGAAUUUUUUGAUAUUUUUACUGAAAACAAGACAACAAUACAAAGUAAGUCAUUUUUUGCAGUGUGACUCCAUUGAAUGUUCUUGUGUGUUAAAGAAAGUCUCUCUUUUUGUGUGUGGUGUUGUGUGAUGUAGAUUAAAUAUGACCGGGCCAAAACGGACAUGGCAGCAGGUCAAAAUCAAAAUCUGCAGAAUGCAGUGAAAAAGAAUACCCAGAGACAAGGCACGGGUGGUGGGUCACCAAAAGCUGACCUCAUCCCAGCAGAGGCCAGCUUUGGAGUUAAAUAAAGGCAGGCCUGUUGGAGGGAAUCCCUGCGGGAAAAGAGACAAGCAUAGGUCCCUCACAAGAUGCCACCCGCUUCAUACAAGUGUCUGGCAGCACUGUGUUACUGUUAAAGCCACCAGCACGAGCACCUGACGAUGCUGAUCCAGUGAGUACUCCAUCAAAGGCAUACUGUAGGCCUGGCAUGUCUUGUCUACUAGCUUCAAUAUGAAUCCGAUUAAAUGUGAUGGGGUCAAGGCCCCAUUUCAUCAGCACAUAACGGCGAUGAUGAUGAGGAGACCAUCUCGCUGGAUUCCAAAAGGCAUAAGGACCCAGAGUCAUUGGUGCACUGGUGUGCACAAACAUAAGGAUAAAAUCCCCCUCAGGUGCCCAUGAGGCAGAUUUUGUAAAUAUGAAAUCUUUUUACAGCAUUAAUGUUCAGGUGAACAUAACUUUUUGAUCUUUUCCCUUGAACACUGGCAAAAUGGCCUGGCUCAGUCCAUGACUCCAGAAUCUUUUGGACCUCUGAAUUCUAUCAGCGCCUAUCACAAGGUGAAUUCUCUGGUGUGUUGCUGGUAGACAGGGGGUAAGGCUGCCAGCCUUUUUUCCUGACACCUUUCACAGACCCCCAGGAAGCACAGCCGGCCUACAACUAUGCCCAUGUUAGGGUCAGAGUUGAAAUUACCUUUGGCCUCCUGAAGGCACGCUCUCACUGCCUUCACAAAUUAAGGGUCAGCCCUGUGAGGGCAUGUGACAUUACUGUGGCUUGUGGUGUCCUCCACAAUGUGGCCUGCCUGAGGAAGGAGAGGGCACCCAGAGUGCUGCCAGCCAUGGAAUGGGACAAUCCGGAAAUCUUCUCUGAUGACAACAGUGGUCCGCUGCUGAGGGACCAAUAUGUGUUGAAUUAUUUUAGUCAGUAUGUUUGCUUUCACAUUUUUUUGAUGUUUGUGCUGUAUACUGUGUGUAUACUGUUUGUAAUACAAGCUUGCAGGAAGGCUACUGCAUCCAUUAAUUGUCUUGUUUUCAGUUGUCUGAAAUUGUCUGUUCAGUUAAUGUGUAUGAAUUUGUCCUGCAUUUAUUUCAGUGUGCAGACAUGCAGGGUGUGUUAUAUACAGACCUUUGAAUGUGUAUUUAUCCUUUGGUUGUACAAU